UAGAGGUGUCAGAAAAGUUACCACAGGGAUAACUGGCUUGUGGCAGCCAAGCGUUCAUAGCGACGUUGCUUUUUGAUUCUUCGAUGUCGGCUCUUCCUAUCCCUAAGUCGCAUAAGGCUUAAACGGUAAGAUUGUUCACCUACUAACAGGGAACGUGAGCUGGGUUUAGACCGUCGCGAGACAGGUUAGUUUUAUCCUACUGUUACGUUUGUAGUCCCGCCAGUACCGCACCUCAGUACGAGAGGAACAAGUGUGGCACGUAACCGGUUAAUGGCGUUGCUCGAAAGACCAAUGCGCCGAGGCUGCCACGUGUGGGAUAAUAGCUGAACGCCUCUAAGCUAGAAACCCUACUCUUACGGACUAUACUAUGCUCUGGAUUCGCUAUGUGUGUAAACAACUCUUUUUGAGUAUACCUUCUACUUUGUAAAUAGCGUUGAUAGAGAUGAAUCCUUUGUAGACGACUUAAUUCACAACAGGGUAUUGUACG
rnacentral:rRNA from 1 species